rnacentral:rRNA from 1 species
AUUGAACGCUGGCGGCAGGCCUAACAACUGCAAGUCGAACGAGUGGCGGACGGGUGAGUAAUGUCUGGGAAACUGCCUGAUGGAGGGGGAUAACUACUGGAAACGGUAGCUAAUACCGCAUACCAUCGGAUGUGCCCAGAUGGGAUUAGCUAGUAGGGGGGGUAAAGGCUAACCUAGGCGACGCACCCUAGCUGGUCUGAGAGGAGGACCAGCCACACUGUACCUGUGACCCGGUCCAGACUCCGACGUGAGGCAGCAGUGGGGAAUAUUGCACAAUGGGCGCAAGCCUGAUGCAGCCAUGCCGCGUGUAUGAAGAAGGCCUUCGGGUUGUAAAGUACUUUCAGCGGGGAGGCGUUACCCGCAGAAGAAGCACCGGCUAACUCCGUGCCAGCAGCCGCGGUAAUAC